GCCUGGGUGGCUCAGUCGGUUGAGCGUCUGACUUUGGCUCAGGUCAUGAUCUCGUGGUCUGUGGGUUCGAGCCCCACGUUGGGCU
rnacentral:tRNA from 1 species